GCAGCUCCCGCCUGGCCGAGCCUCUCGGCGCCCCGCGCCCCGGGCGGGCAGAUAUCGAGCGCCGCGGAGCCGCCCCCCGCGUCAGCGCCCACAGAUUGGCGGAGCCGCCGCCCCACGAGUCACGGCUGGGCCCCGCUCUCCUUCCUCCCCUCGGCCGCGCCCCGCGACGCCUCUGCAGCUCCGGGCCCGCUAAGGAGAGGGCUCCUCCUGCCCGCGGUUUGCAGAGGGAGGCGGCGGAGACCGGGAGGGCGCGCUCGGUUCUGGCCAGGCCAGCAGCUGCGGCCGAGUGGGGGGCUCCGGCCUGGCCGCUUCCUGGGACCCCCUCCCGCCCGGGGCCGCCGCCGCCGCCGCCGCCAGCUGCAGCCUCUCGGCUCCUCCCCAGAGGAGCGCGGGGCCGGGGCCCAGGCCAAGUCCCUCCCCGGAGCCGCGGGGCGUCUGCGCCGCCGGAUGAGCUCCCCGCCGGGCGGCGACCCCGUGCCCCACGCCCGUCUCGGCAAGGAGGAGGCGGAGGCGGCCCCGCGAGAGAGGCCCAAGGAGCGACUGGGCCUGGACCCAGGGGACGCCAGGGCCGCGGAGCUCCCGGCACCGGUCCCACCCCCCCCUGCCCACCCGCGGGACGCGCCCGCCUUAACCCUCCAGGCGCCGGGCCCGCUGGGGGCGCUGAGAGGGGCUGGUGUGCUGGGGGCGCCUUCCUGCUUGGGGCCGACGGGGGUGUGUGAGUGCAGGCGUGUGCGUGUGUGUGCGCAUGUGUGUGUGUGGAUGUGCGUGUGCGUGUGUAUGCCUGUGUGUGUGCGUCUGUGUGCAUGUGUGUGUGUGCACAUGCAUGUGUGUUCACGUGAGUGCAUCUCAUCUGGCACCCACAACCAGGGGAGCGGUGCUUGUACAACCAGCUGGUGGCUUCUGCAACCAGCAGCUUCUGGCCGUGCAGCUCCCAGUAGGGAAUAUGAGUUAAUGUGGAUGUCAGCCUAAGAUGUAGUCAGGGAGGUAAGUGUGUGGGAGGAGGCCACAUCCCCUGCGCCUCAAGCCGGCUGCUUCCCCAGUGCCCAGACUGCCUGGGCCAGCAGCCUCGCCAGCAAGCCCAGGCGGGUGGGCUGGGAGCAGGGCUUGGGCCCCCACUCUUACUUUCACCAGCUGGCUGUGUUACCAGGGCCCUCCCUGCCCUCUCUGAGCCUCAGUUUCCUCUGAUGUGAAUUAAGGGCGUUGAGCCCAUUGUUCCUGAGGAAUCACUCAUCUCUGAGCCUGGCCCAUUGCCUGGCAUUCCGUGGGCACCCACUAGUUACUUACAAGGGGAGAAGUUGUUCCAGUCCGGCUGGCCAGUGGAAUCCAUGCGUCUUGGGCCAUUUGAAGUGAGUGAAGGGCUGGGUGCGGCCCACCUGGAGCUGGACUGGAGGCUGUGUUGGGUGGGGCGGUGUGACCUGGAGGUGGGCUGCCCCCUCAGGAGACAGCUUCACCCCUGUGAGUGGGCCUCAUCCUUCCUUCCUUCCACUCACAUGGACAGCACAUCUGUGUGUAGACGGGGUCACUGAGAGAGGCCAAGGAGUGUGAGCAGGAAGAUCCCAGGUGUGGGGGGAGUCCUGGGGGAGCAGACAGCAGGGACAGAAGCCUGUGGCAGGAAGGAAGGUCUUGGCCUGUGUUCUCCCAGCAAGGGUCCCCUUGGACUUGGAGUUCUAUAGGCUCCUGGCCCCCCCAUCUCUCCCGUGGUCUGCAGGACCUCGACGCAGAGCUGUGGCUAGUGUCUCGGGGCAGACAUGGGGCUCAGCAGGCCCCAUGGAACACAAUUAUCCAGUGUGGGGGGCCUCAUGGAGGUUCCCUGGGCACUUACUUUCACUUGCCUCCUGCCCCCCACUCCUGUCCCCUCCCAUCCUCACCCCCAGAGUGGUUUUUGGGAGCCCGGCAGCUAUCUGGACCCGUGUGCACCCCUGGACGCCUCCCUCCCUCGCAGAGGGUCCUGGUUCAUCUCGUCUGUUGCCUCUUAGAACAGUGGCCUCUACCUCACCAGGUCCUUCGGAAGCGCCCCCGUCCCUGCCCCGCCACUGUUUUCCCAUCAGCACCCGCCAUGGUCUGAAGACACUUUCUUCUGCUCCUGUUUAUUGUUUAUCUCCCCAAAGCACAAGCAGUCGAGUUAAGACAGGAGCCUCGUUCAAGGUUCCGCCCGGGGCCAGGCACAGCCCAGGCUCUCAGAGGAGGGCCCAGGAGUCCACAGGCUGUGGCGGCGCGAGACCAAAGUCGGAAGACAGGACCCCGCUGAGGAGUGAGGAGACAGCGGCCACCCCUCCGCCAGACCCUUCCGCCUGGUGCCUUUACUGGGCUCUGAGGAGGAAUUUGGUGGUUCAGUCGGCCCAUCCGUGGACACCAUGAAAACAAAGAGAAAACAGACACACACAGAUGCACACAUAGAUACACACAGAUGAUACACACAGACACAGAUAUAUAGACACACGCAGAUACACACACGUGGACACAGAUGAUACACUCAGACACAGAUAUAUAGACACACACAGAUACACACAUGUGGACACGAAGAAACACACACAGACACACACAGACUUACCCAUAGUUAUGGAUAUAUGCAUGGAUACACAAUACACAGACACACAGAUGAUACAUGCAUAGACAUAUAUGGACACACACACACGGACACACAGAUACACACAUAGACACAUGGACAGACACAGAUACAUGUAGACACACAUGGACAUACAAUACUCAGAUGAACACACAGAUAAUAUACACAUAGACACAGAUCUAUAGAUACACAAAGACAUACACACAGAUAUACAUAGAUGCACACAUAGACACAGAUACACAUGUCAUCACACAUGGACACACACAGACACACACCAAUACACACAUAGACAUACAAAGACACAGGUACACAGACACAUAUACACACAGACACACAUAUAUACACACAGACGCAGAUAUACACACACACACAUAGACACAGAUAUACACAGAUACAUGGACAGAUACACAUUCACAUACACACAUAGAGACACAGAAACACACAGACACACAGACACAUAGAGACACACACACAGCCACACAGGCCCUGAGCCUCCCUGGGCCCUCGCUUGUGCAGAGGCGGAGGGGCUGGCUGUCGGGGAGGGCACCUGGAGAGGACACACAGCCCCAUCAGAGACCAGGGAGGGUCUCUGAGAGCUCUUUUCGUCCGAAGGGGCUGGAGCUCCAGUUAGCCAAGGUGAGGGCGUGGAUUCCUGGGGGAAGCUUCCUGCUGCAAGGUGGAAAAGACAGAUAACAAGAGAAAAACAGAAGCUUAAUAGCAUGUAUACCUUGGUCUGCAAGGGACGGACUCAGGGGACAGGCUAUGUCUCAAAGAUGUGGCUUGGAGCUCAGCCUUAAAGACCACGUUCGACGGAAACAAAGAGAAAGAGUGUGUGGGGAGGGGCCCAAGAAAUUACCCCAAACUGGGGUCAGGCCUUCUCCGUGGAUGAGCGUCUCCGGUGACUUACAGCCGGCCUUCUGGCCCAGAGAGGGGGCACCCUGGUGAGCGCAGAUGCCUGUACGGAUGUGACUUUCUCUCACAGAACAGCAGCUUCCACUCUUGUUUUCAGAAUUUCUCCUGUGGUUGCAGUUUCUCAAAAUAAGCAGCUCAAAAUAAUGCUUAUGCCAAAGAGGCAUAUUUUGGGGUGGCAUAUUCUGGUCUGCUCUACGUGGAAGCGGACAGAAAAAUGGGGCAGAGGCCGGGGAGGGGAGCGGGACCGACUUCCAGUUCCCAGACCCGAGCAAGGGAACCUGAGGCCGAGCUCUGGAGCUUGGGGUCUGGAAGGGGUUCUCUGAGGACACUCUGGGAGUGGGGGGAACAGCUGCCUCCUCAGGUUUCCCCCAAGGGAUCCUGCCUGGGGAGACCUGGACUGGGCAAGGCUUGGCAGCUGCCCUGCCAGGAGGAGGGAGACAGGGCUGCAGUGGGGGGGUGCAGGGUCGCUGGGGUCCCACCCGGGGGUGCUGGGACCGGCCAGAGGACACACUGCGAUUUCCCAAUGGGCCAGGAAGGAAGGAGGCGCUUUCCAGGCAGAGCAUGACCCCGCACAGGAGGCAGAGACAGAGUCUCUGAGUGUCCCCGUCAGGUCCCUGGGACUGUGGCAGGGGAAGAAGCCGCAGUACCUCCUGCCCUUUAGGACAGGAGACGUUGUCAUCCCAGCAUUGCCCAGCAGCUGGUUGGAGCCCAGGGCUCCUCAGAUGAGCCAGCGCCUGAGCCCUGAGCUGCCAGCUGGCCUGGCUGGAGCCGCCACUGAUCUUCCCAGGAGAAAGAGGCCGCCGUGGGUAAGUAGCGAGGUGUAAGAGGACGCGUAGAGCCGUGUCGCUCGUGCAAGAAGGGGAAAGAAGGAAGCCCGUCUGCAUGGCUGCGCAGGGGAUAUUGGAACAGAACUGAAGGAACUCAUGCAAUGCUCAUCUGUGAAGGGGGCACCGCGAUGUAUGGACAAGGGUGGGAAAGGGAUGCUGGGCCAUAAAGUUUGGGGUGCGUGAUGGCGUGGAGGAGAAAGCCCUCCUGGGAGCUGUGGCCAGGGGGUGUGCAGUCCACGAGCAGAUGGAGCUUUACGUGCCUCCCACCUCCUCCCAGGGGCCCCCCACGACUCGCUGAGGCCCCAUCAGCAACAGGAUGACGGGUUUUCUUUCCCACACAGAUCGGGGACCUCCCAGCCUCCUGGGGUGGGGCAGAGGUGGGCACCGCAGCCCAAGAGCUGGCUUUCCCCCUGCACCUCCACCCAUGCGUUGGCCUGGAGUGGCCCAGCGGAGGGUCCAGGUGGGGGUGCUGGAGGGGCCCACCCAGCUCAGGCCUGGCACCUGCACCUUUCUGGAUCCCACGAUGUUUUGCUGAGGGUUACUCAUCCAAGACCUGCCCGGAGGCUCCGAGCUGUUUACCACAGGCCAGCUCUGGCCGUAGGCUAUUCUGGGAGCCUGGGGGGGGCUGGGAGGAGGCUGGGGCUCUGGGUGGCAGGAGGAGGAGAGCCGUCUUGUCCUUACUGAGCGUCCAGCGGGCGCCAGAUGCUGCGCCGCGUGCAAUUCUAAUCCUGGCCGGCAAAGCCAGAAGGGGACAAUAUUCCUUCCUCCCCAGGCCUCCCGCUUGGCUGCGGGUGCUGACGGUCAAUGGGCCUGGCUAUCGGGGCUCACAGGGGAGCCGGGAGAGCCGCUAACAGGAGAAAAUGUGAGCUCUGCAUCUGCUGGGCUGGGUUCGAGGGACGCGGGGUGGCUGGGGAGGGUCGUGCUGGUCCCUCCGGCUGCUGUUGCUGGCCGGCCGGCCAGUCCGCCCCAGCGCUGGACUCCUGGGCUAUCCGUUCCCCACCCACCGUCUGAGGGUCUUUGAAAAUAGAACUCACUUGUUUUCAGUAAAAGCAACAGAUCAAGAAGCCGAAAACACAAGAAUAAAACAAUGUAAAAGCUUGA